GGCCUGGCUGGACGGUCCGCCCUCUGGGUGAGAACUGUCUGUGGUCGGGUCCUACCUUCUGGCGAAGCGUCAUGGCCUUAACCGGCCGUGGCGGGGAACCAGGACUUUUACUGUGAAAAAAUUAGAGUGUUCAAAGCAGGCAGUCGCUUGAAUACAUUAGCAUGGAAUAAUGGAAUAGGACAGUGGUUCUAUUUGUUGGUUUCUAGGACCGUUGUAAUGAUUAAUAGGGAUAGUUGGG
rnacentral:rRNA from 1 species